rnacentral:rRNA from 1 species
ACAGACUGAGGCCUUCGGGGCCCAGUGCGGUUACGCAAACCAGCUCGGAGACGCCAAUGCGAGCCCCGGGAGGUGUUUUCUUUUCUCUGUAAGGUGAUCGAGUCCCUGGAAUGGGUUCGCCCCGAGAUAGGGAUGGUGGCUCCGUAGAGCAGUGCGGCUCUUGCGCUGUCCGGUGCGCUCGCGUCGGCCAUUGAAAAUCCAAGUGAAGGAGUGUGAUUUCCAUGCCGAAUCGUACCCACAUCCGCAGCAGGUCUCCAAGGUGAACAGUCUCUAGUCGAUGGACCAAUGUAGGACCCACUAAGAACGGCAUGGCCGUUCUUAGUUAGUGGGGCGAUUUAUUCCGAUAACGAACGAGACUCUAGCAUAUUAAAUAGGGGCGUGGUUCUCCGCACCUUGCACCCUUUUUAAAAUGAACAAGCGGCUCUUAGCCGCACGAAACAGAGCAAUAACAGGUCUGUGAUGCCAUUAGAUGUCCGGGGCCGCCAUGUGGCUGCACUUUGCGGCCCCGCGAGGGCACUCAAAGUGACUCUCUAAAAUGUCACCUUUAUCGGAGAGCGUCAUCUUUACCGCGUACCUACAAUUUUUAAACGA